rnacentral:ribozyme from 1 species
AGGGUAAGUAAAUAUACUUAUCCUCUAUUAAUGCAACCAUGUUAUAUAACAUGUAGGUCACAAGUCCUAGUAAAUGCAGAGUGGUAG